AUGCCGACUUGUGAGCACCCUGCUAACCCAGCCCCCACCCCGCCUGCUUCUCUUCUCAGAUUCCCAGUUAGGCUUAACGGCAUCACUGAACUGUGCAUCCCAAGGAGCCUGACGCCUCCACGUCUGAUACCUUCCACAUCUAAUUGGUACCUCCAGGUGCUCCACUGCUGCUCCCUGAACCACGACCUGGAAAUUCUGCCCUUCGGAGACAUGACGGAGGUGAGCGGGAGGCGAGCGUCCCCCAGCCCUCUUGUGACAGAGCCCCUGUCAUGGUGUUCUGGGGUCCCCAGCCUGCCUCCCUGGGUAGGUAGAGGAAGGACCCCGGCUCUUCCUUCCCAAAGCAGCCCGAGCUGGCUCUGCAGCCUCAGAGCCUCCCACACCGAGGGAGGGAAGUUGGGGCUCAUCUGACCUUGGGAGCUGACAAAGAGGCUAUCUUGCCCCACAAGGGUGGGAGCUGACCUCCGACUUCUCCUUCUGAAGCAAGAGAGGAGACCCUGUGAAGAUAAGAAGCUUCCCGACGUCCACCUUUGCCCCACCCACUGCCCUGCUCCUCUCUGUCAGCGUUUCCUUUGACGGUGGGAAUGACAAGCAUGGCCCCACCACGGCAGUGUCAGUUCUGACUGCUGCAUUGUCCUGAUAACUCUCCAUCUUGCACAUCUGUAGCCACCUUUAUUCCAUAUAAGACCUCCGUAAGAUAAAAGCAACAUUGUUGUCUUGAUUUUGUUAUCUAAUAAUAGAUAGAUUAUCUUACUGCAUUCAAGGUACUAUUCUAGCAACUCUAAAGUAUUGUCUUAGUUAAGCCUCAGAUAACCCCAGGAGGUCAGUUCUUUUAUUAUCCUUCCUUUAAGGAUGGGCGUGUGGAGGGCAGAGAGCUCAGCUGUCUUGUUCAGGGUCGUCUUUUCAGUAGGAAGAACCAGGUCUGUUCUGUAAAAUGCAUCAGUAAUAGUCCUGAGCUCAUCAGGAUGAUGUGAGGUUUGAGUGAGUUGAUACAUACAUGCUUUGAAUUGUGCCUGGCAUAGUGUAGGUGUUACGCCCUCAUUAGAGGAACACAGUAGGCAUUUAUUCAGUCUUUGCUGAGUGAGCAGGGAAACUGAGCCUUGCCCAGGUCAAGCAGCUUAUCUAUGGUCACAUGGUGAACUGGAGGCGGAGCAGUGACAACAGGUCACCCUGCUGUUCUUUAAACUCUGCUUCUUCUCUACAGAGUCUCCAGAGUUCAUGGUAGAGCAGGGAUAGGACUUAGACCUUGGCUGCCUCGUCCUCAGAGCCUGGCUGAGGGAUGCGCCGGCCGGUAGCUGCCUGGGGUGCCAGUCUGCUAGGGGACCCCAGGCAUUCUGCCCAGUGAUUCUGGUUUGCACCCUCGACUUCUGACACGAUGGGUGUCAUGGAAGGUGGCCCUUCCCAGGGCAGCCACAGCACAGCCUGCCCACCACCGCAGCUAUGGUGCAAACAGUCUUGGGCAAUACCCCAAACCCAGGCCAGUGGUCCUCCCGGUUGGUGGUUGCAGUCAACGGAGAUUUAAAACAUGGAUAAGAUGUAAGAAGGUGCUGUUUCUUGGGAAUAAAUGAUUUACUUUACAAACUAAAUUGUGAAAAGUUUAAUACGCCUUCUGAGAAGCUGACUGAUUUAGAAAAAUUGUAUCUAAUUAUGAAUUACGAAUUUUAGUUAACUGAAAAUCAGUUUUUUCAUCCCCUACUAAGCAGAUUUUGAAAAGUAUUUUUUAAAUGCCAGGAGUGCCAAAUCAUUAGGUGUCCAGCAGUGUGCAUCGAGGGGGCUCAGUCUGUCCACCUGCCCAUCUGGCUGGUGGGAGCACACCUGGCUGGGUCACACUCUAGACACAGUGCCUUUGGCUGCCUGUCCGCAGAUCAGGGAGCGGGGCCUCAACCUCACAGGGGGGCAGAAGCAGAGGAUCAGCCUGGCCCGAGCUGUCUACUCUGACUGCGAGCUUUACCUGCUGGACCACCCCCUGUCGGCCGUGGACACCCACAUGGGGAAGCACAUCUUUGAGGAGUGCACUGAGAAGGCGCUCAGGGGGAAGACCGUCAUUUUGGUGACCCACCAGCUGCAGGUGACCACCCUCCCAGGGCUCUGGCCAUGAUUGGCAGAUAAUGUAGCUCCUCAAGACCCUGCCAUCUCAGUGUGAUCAAUAACAGCCUCCCAGAAGCUCCCGCCUCAUCUCAGACAGACCCCGAAGUCAGGGAGAACUUGAUUUCCUCUGCUUUCCACGUGGAGAACAUAGGCUGGUAGAAAUUGAAACCAAAUUUUAAAGUCUCCUUCAUUUUCAAAAUUGUGUGGGUGGCCACUGCUUUUGAAGUUACACAAAAAAAGAAAAAACUCCCUGAGAGAAGAAUUCCCCAAGUCUCACAUUCUUCCAUCAAGCGCAGUGGCUGUGCUGGGUGCUGCCUCUCACGGGUCCUUUUCCCUAGAUAUGUUCAUACCUGGUUUUGGCCUU
ensembl:lncRNA